UGGACAGUGCAGUUAUCCAUAAAGUAGAAAGCACUACUAGGCCUCUCUCCAAGUGUAGUGUUUCCUACUUUAUGGAUAAGUGUACUGUGA
rnacentral:pre_miRNA from 1 species